ensembl:ncRNA lncRNA:CR45293 long non-coding RNA:CR45293
ACUUUCCAGCUAGGAGCAGGACAUGUGGCCGGUAGCCAGUGCCACUCAGUACCUCACUCAGUCUAAUGGCCAGAACACCGCGGUCAUCUCGAGUGGACAGGUUGUAAAGUGGCCACACCCGCCGACCGGACACUUGACUCUAUGCGCCGGCGCAGCAUCGCAGGUAGUCAUCUGGAACAGGUAAACAUUUGCCAAUAUCUCACGCUGACCUAUGACACGUGUCAGGUGUCUUUGUCGUGGAUUCGGGCAAGUGUG